rnacentral:lncRNA from 1 species
GAACCCAGUUUGGCUACAACUGCUGAAGCGCUGUUUUUAACUUUUUAUUUUAUAUUUUUAGCUGGUGUAGCUAUGAUUUUGAUCUGAUGUUCUCCCACAUACACCUACUAUGAGAGGUACUGAGGCUAGUUUGUGAACUACUGAAGCUCCAAAAAAAAGCUCCAACACUGAUGAACUAUUCUGGAUGACAAAAUAAUCUGAUAGAGAAAAGCUACUCUACCCUACCAGUAAGGACAAGAAGAGGAACUCGUCACAAUGCACAGAAACAUGAGGAAUUUCCACAGCCU